rnacentral:rRNA from 1 species
AGUCGAGCGGCAGCGGGAAGAUAGCUUGCUAUCUUUGCCGGCGAGCGGCGGACGGGUGAGUAAUACCUGGGGAUCUGCCCAAUCGAGGGGGAUAACAGUUGGAAACGACUGCUAAUACCGCAUACGCCCUACGGGGGAAAGGAGGGGCUCUUCGGACCUUCCGCGAUUGGAUGAACCCAGGCGGGAUUAGCUAGUAGGUGAGGUAAUGGCUCACCUAGGCGACGAUCCCUAGCUGUUCUGAGAGGAUGGACAGCCACACUGGGACUGAGACACGGCCCAGACUCCUACGGGAGGCAGCAGUGGGGAAUAUUGGACAAUGGGGGAAACCCUGAUCCAGCCAUGCCGCGUGUGUGAAGAAGGCCUUCGGGUUGUAAAGCACUUUCAGUGGGGAGGAAAGGUUGAUGGUUAAU